AUACGGAAGGUCCGGGCGUUAUCCGGAUUUAUUGGGUUUAAAGGGAGCGCAGGCGGAGAUGCAAGCGUGACGUCAAAUUUCGGGGCUCAACCCCGUCUCGCGUCGCGAACUGCGUCCCUUGGUUGCGGGAAGGGGAGGCGGAACUCGCGGGGGAGCGGUGAAAUGCAUAGAUAUCACGAAGAACUCCGAUCGCGAAGGCAGCCUUCCGGCCCAUUAACGACGCUCAUGCUCGAAAGUGCGGGUAUCAAACAUGAUUAGAUACCCUGGUAGUCCGCACAGUAAACGAUGGACACCCGCUGUUUGGCCUAUAUGGCUGAGCCGCCAAGCGAAAGCGUUAAGUGUCCCACCUGGGGAGUACGCCGGCAAAGGUUAAACUCCAAAGAAUUGGCGGGG
rnacentral:rRNA from 1 species